UACGGGGGGAGCAAGCGUUGUUCUGAUUUACUGGGCGUAAAGGGCGCGUAGGCGGCCACCGCAAGUCGACUGUGAAAUCUCCGGGCUUAACCCGGAAAGGUCAGCCGAUACUGCGGGGCUAGAGUGCAGAAGGGGCAACUGGAAUUCUCGGUGUAGCGGUGAAAUGCGUAGAUAUCGAGAGGAACACCUGCGGCGAAGGCGGGUUGCUGGGCUGACACUGACGCUGAUGCGCGAAAGCUAGGGGAGCGAACGGG
rnacentral:rRNA from 1 species